UUAUGGGAUUGAUUGUUUACGCGCUUGUGGACUUGGACCUGGAAUGGCUUUUGCUAAUGAGAUACUUAUAAAAGAUCCUGAAUUUGGUGUUAUAGGUGUAGUACCUUGUGCUAAAGGAGGGACACCAUGGAGACGUGGAUAUAUAAAAGAACCUGACUUUGGUGUUAUAGGUCUAGUACCUUGUGCUAAAGGAGGGACACCAUUACAUAAAUGGAGACGUGGAUCUAGCCCUUAUGAUGCUUUGAUUAGAAGAGCAAAAUAUGCUGUCAAAAAUGGAGGAAAUAUUUGG
rnacentral:lncRNA from 1 species